GGGGACAUUGCUAGGGCCUGAUCCACCACUGUAAAAGCAUCUGAAGUGCUGUGAAGCUGGGUGGCAUGCCAGUACACAGCACUACAAAUGCAUCGUUGCUGGCAGUGCUGUGAAGUAAAGAGAGAGCCUGGCUGACUGUCAUAUCUCACCUUGGCUCUUCAGGAUGAAAGUUACAUGUAUAGCAACUUUUGAGGUGCUCUCCAACAUAUUUGAUUGAGAAUGUACAGAGUCCUUUGUUGCUGUUUUCAUCAAGUUGCUUCUCAGAGCAGCGUAGCAGAGUAACUGUUGUUUAAGACAAGAGUAGUGCAAAAAAAAAAAGUAACAAAUUACUCUUUCAGGGAGGCUUAUCAGUGGACGAGGUACCCAAGAUGUGGAGAUGCAUUAAAAGGAAAAUAAUUCAGGUGAAGAACACCUGCUUGGCUGAGAACACCAUUAGAAGUUCCUUUUGUAUCCUUCAGCGCACUUCUACAGUGUUCCUGUCUUCACAAGGCUCUAAUUGGGGGAGAAAAACAAGUAAAGCGCAAAAAAAGGAAAGCCAGCAGGUGCAGGUAAAAGUAUCUCCACAUAUGCCCAUGGAACUACAUAAGAACCAACAGAGAGAUCUUAUCUGA
rnacentral:lncRNA from 1 species